rnacentral:rRNA from 1 species
AUACAUGCAAGUCGAGCGGACAGAAGGGAGCUUGCUCCCGGAUGUUAGCGGCGGACGGGUGAGUAACACGUGGGUAACCUGCCUGUAAGACUGGGAUAACUCCGGGAAACCGGAGCUAAUACCGGAUAGUUCCUUGAACCGCAUGGUUCAAGGAUGAAAGACGGUUUCGGCUGUCACUUACAGAUGGACCCGCGGCGCAUUAGCUAGUUGGUGGGGUAAUGGCUCACCAAGGCGACGAUGCGUAGCCGACCUGAGAGGGUGAUCGGCCACACUGGGACUGAGACACGGCCCAGACUCCUACGGGAGGCAGCAGUAGGGAAUCUUCCGCAAUGGACGAAAGUCUGACGGAGCAACGCCGCGUGAGUGAUGAAGGUUUUCGGAUCGUAAAGCUCUGUUGUUAGGGAAGAACAAGUGCGAGAGUAACUGCUCGCACCUUGACGGUACCUAACCAGAAAGCCACGGCUAACUACGUGCCAGCAGCCGCGGUAAUACGUAGGUGGCAAGCGUUGUCCGGAAUUAUUGGGCGUAAAGGGCUCGCAGGCGGUUUCUUAAGUCUGAUGUGAAAGCCCCCGGCUCAACCGGGGAGGGUCAUUGGAAACUGGGAAACUUGAGUGCAGAAGAGGAGAGUGGAAUUCCACGUGUAGCGGUGAAAUGCGUAGAGAUGUGGAGGAACACCAGUGGCGAAGGCGACUCUCUGGUCUGUAACUGACGCUGAGGAGCGAAAGCGUGGGGAGCGAACAGGAUUAGAUACCCUGGUAGUCCACGCCGUAAACGAUGAGUGCUAAGUGUUAGGGGGUUUCCGCCCCUUAGUGCUGCAGCUAACGCAUUAAGCACUCCGCCUGGGGAGUACGGUCGCAAGACUGAAACUCAAAGGAAUUGACGGGGGCCCGCACAAGCGGUGGAGCAUGUGGUUUAAUUCGAAGCAACGCGAAGAACCUUACCAGGUCUUGACAUCCUCUGACAACCCUAGAGAUAGGGCUUUCCCUUCGGGGACAGAGUGACAGGUGGUGCAUGGUUGUCGUCAGCUCGU